CGGUUACUUGUUCCCAGGAUCACACUCUGACCCCAACAUCCUAGAAGCACAAUUAGCAGUAGACCCACUCCGCAAUCUCAGAUACAUAAAGGAACACAUAAGACAAAGAUUAGGUUCGGGAGAAUCCACAGGAACCAGUAAGACUUUUCCUCCAGUAUCUUAUUCUCCUCAAUCCCCUAAAUCCUACAGACUAAGACCCUUGCCAAAAUCCAG